AAAAUAAACUUUGUUCCAAAGAUAAACGGAGGUCUUACGGGUUUGGAACAACAUGAGGGCAACCCUCACAGGGAAAGGAAAAAAAGGCAAGCUGAAGGAGCAGCUUGAGCCAGAAAAAACCAACGCAAUUUUAGAUGCAGUGAGGGAGCGAUUCCCCAACACCGAGGUGGCAGAGAUCCGGGCCCUUCUACGGAGGAAGUGCAACAAUGAGAGCUACAAGGCCUCUAGUAACUCAAGUCAGAGCUACAGGUGCUGGUCAUAUAAUUAGAAUAUCGUGAAAAAGUUCAUUUUUUUUAUUGUAAAUUAUUUUUAAAAAUGAAACUUUCAUAUAUUCUAGAUUCCCUACAUGUAAAGUAAAACAUUUC